CGCUGGCGGCAGGCCUAACACAUGCAAGUCGAGCGGUAGCACAGAGAGCUUGCUCUCGGGUGACGAGCGGCGGACGGGUGAGUAAUGUCUGGGAAACUGCCUGAUGGAGGGGGAUAACUACUGGAAACGGUAGCUAAUACCGCAUAAUGUCGCAAGACCAAAGUGGGGGACCUUCGGGCCUCAUGCCAUCAGAUGUGCCCAGAUGGGAUUAGCUAGUAGGUGGGGUAACGGCUCACCUAGGCGACGAUCCCUAGCUGGUCUGAGAGGAUGACCAGCCACACUGGAACUGAGACACGGUCCAGACUCCUACGGGAGGCAGCAGUGGGGAAUAUUGCACAAUGGGCGCAAGCCUGAUGCAGCCAUGCCGCGUGUGUGAAGAAGGCCUUCGGGUUGUAAAGCACUUUCAGCGGGGAGGAAGGCGAUAAGGUUAAUAACCUUGUCGAUUGACGUUACCCGCAGAAGAAGCACCGGCUAACUCCGUGCCAGCAGCCGCGGUAAUACGGAGGGUGCAAGCGUUAAUCGGAAUUACUGGGCGUAAAGCGCACGCAGGCGGUCUGUCAAGUCGGAUGUGAAAUCUCCGGGCUCAACCUGGGAACUGCAUUCGAAACUGGCAGGCUAGAGUCUUGUAGAGGGGGGUAGAAUUCCAGGUGUAGCGGUGAAAUGCGUAGAGAUCUGGAGGAAUACCGGUGGCGAAGGCGGCCCCCUGGACAAAGACUGACGCUCAGGUGCGAAAGCGUGGGGAGCAAACAGGAUUAGAUACCCUGGUAGUCCACGCCGUAAACGAUGUCGAUUUGGAGGUUGUGCCCUUGAGGCGUGGCUUCCGGAGCUAACGCGUUAAAUCGACCGCCUGGGGAGUACGGCCGCAAGGUUAAAACUCAAAUGAAUUGACGGGGGCCCGCACAAGCGGUGGAGCAUGUGGUUUAAUUCGAUGCAACGCGAAGAACCUUACCUGGUCUUGACAUCCACAGAACUUUCCAGAGAUGGAUUGGUGCCUUCGGGAACUGUGAGACAGGUGCUGCAUGGCUGUCGUCAGCUCGUGUUGUGAAAUGUUGGGUUAAGUCCCGCAACGAGCGCAACCCUUAUCCUUUGUUGCCAGCGGUCCGGCCGGGAACUCAAAGGAGACUGCCAGUGAUAAACUGGAGGAAGGUGGGGAUGACGUCAAGUCAUCAUGGCCCUUACGACCAGGGCUACACACGUGCUACAAUGGCAUAUACAAAGAGAAGCGACCUCGCGAGAGCAAGCGGACCUCAUAAAGUAUGUCGUAGUCCGGAUUGGAGUCUGCAACUCGACUCCAUGAAGUCGGAAUCGCUAGUAAUCGUAGAUCAGAAUGCUACGGUGAAUACGUUCCCGGGCCUUGUACACACCGCCCGUCACACCAUGGGAGUGGGUUGCAAAAGAAGUAGGUAGCUUAACCUUCGGGAGGGCGCUUACCACUUUGUGAUUCAUGACUGGGGU
rnacentral:rRNA from 1 species